UCUUGCUGCAAGCUUAGUUAUUUGCAAAAUAAUUGCAAAGAAACCUGUUAAUUGUAUCAUAAUCCGAUAUAUUAUCAUAACAAUUUAAGGAUUCCAAUUUAACAGCAAUUUGUUUUUAUAGCAAUUAACUGAUUGGUUACAUUUGUCUUGAAUUAAGAAUAAUUAAACACUAAUGAGCAAUCAGUGAAAGACAAAUGUUACUUUCAAAUAAAUAUCAAAGAGAUUGUCCAUUCAUUCAUUAACAAUAAGGGUGUGUCAUGUUUUUGUCCGUUAUGUCUGCAAAACAUGGAUCACCAGCUCUUUCUACCAGAUUACUGCAUGGUGUGUGUUCAACCAACCUACUAGGAAAAACAACGACAUAGAAGGCUGGGACAGGCACCUCAACUAAAAGAACAACGAUGAAAAGCCAGCCUUCUACGACCUCAUCCAGAAACUUCAUGAAGAGUCACAACUCCUACCAAUCCUAUCCUAUUCAAUAUAUGGGAGCAGUACAUUGCCGGCAUGACAAAUUUCAUUGGGAUUUUUCUAUUUUUCAUAAGUGGGGCGAGUUGGCAGACCUAUAUUCAGGGUGAUUUUAACCCUUUUCCUAAGUGGGGUGAGUUGUCAGACCCAUAUUCAACGAGAUUUUAAACUUUUUCAUGAGUGGGGCGAGUUGGUAAACAAGAGUGGGGCGAUUUGGUGUGGGGCGAUUUGCCAGUGAGGCGAGUUGUCAUGGACUCAUUAACUAGUAGCUUUGAAUAGUUAAUAUGAAAGUAACAGCUUAAUUUUUAAUGACUAUUGUUUCAGAAAAAGGGUGAAGGUUUGGUACCAUUAAAACGUUUAAACCCGCUGCAUUUGUUUGCACCUGUCCUAAGUCAGGAAUCUGAUGUUCAGUAGUUGUUGUUUGUUGAUGUGUUUCAUAAGUGUUUCUUGUUUCUUGUUAUACGACCGCAAAAAUUAAAAAAAAUUUGGUCGUAUAUUGGUAUGACGUUGGCGUCGUCGUCGGCGUCGUCCGAAGACACAUUGGUUUUCGCACUCUAACUUUAGUUUAAGUGAAUGGAUCUCCAUGAAAUUUUACCAUAAGGUUCAAUACCACGAAAGGAUGGUUGGGAUUGAUUUUGGGGGUUAUGGUACCAACAGUUAAGGAAUUAGGGGCCAAAAAGGGGCCAAAAAUAAGCAUUUUUGUAACUUCCAGACAAUAACUUGUAUGUAAGUGUAUGGAUCUCUCUGACAUUGUACCACAAGGUUCCAUAUCACAAAGGGAAUGCUGGGAUUGAUUUUGGGGGUAAUUGCCUCCAAAUUUUAGGAAUUAGGGGCCAAAAACAAGCAUUUUUUCUAGUUUCAUGACAAUAACUUGUGUGUAAGUGUAUGGAUCUUUAUGAAAUUGUACUACAAGGUUCCAUAUCACAAAGGGAAAGCUGGAAUUGAGUUUGGGGGUAAUUGCCCAAAAAAUAUAGGAAUAAGGGGCCAAAAAUAAGCAUUUUUCUAGUUUCCAGACAAUAACUUGUGUUCAAGUGUAUGGAUCUCUCUGAAAUUGUACUGCAAGGUACCAUACUACAAAGGGAAGACUGGGAUUGAUUUUGGGGGUAAUUCCCUCAAAAUUUUAGGUAAAGGGGCCAUAAAAGGGCAAAAAAACAAGCAUUUUCUAGUUUCAGGACAAUAACUUGUGUGUAAGGUGUAUGGAUCUUUAUGAAAUUGUACUGCAAGGUUCCAUAUCACAAAGGGAAAGCUGGGUUUGAGUUUGGGGGUAAUUGCCCUUAACGAUUAGGAAUUUGGGGCCAAAAAGGGGCCAAAAAACAAGCAUUUUUCUAGUUUCCACACAAUAACUUGUGUUCAAGUGUAUGGAUCUCUCUGAAAUUGUACUGCAAGGUACCAUACCACAAAGGGAAGGCUGGGAUUGAGUUUGGGGGUGAUGAAUCAUAAGGGGGUUCAAAAAAUUUGGGGGGGGAUUUUUUUUUCCUUUUUUUUCUUUAAAAUUUUCCAUUUUAAAUUGGUUAUUUCUGAUUUAUAUAUAAAAGCAAAUAAUAAUGAUAUGGUUUGAAUAGGUAAAUUAAAAUUUUUUAAGUUCUUAGACCACUUUCAUUCUGUGUCAGAAACCUAUGCUGUGUCAAAUAUUUAAUUACAAUCAAAAUUCAGUGCUGUAUCAAGCUUGAAUGUUGUGUCCAUACUUGCCCCAACUGUUCAGGGUUCGACCUCUGCGGUUGUAUCAAGCUGCGCCCCAGCGGAGCAUUUUAUUAAUGUGCUAUUUCACAAGGUAGCAGUCCGCAGGUAGACAUGUCACCUUACCCGGAGACAUUAUUCUGAAUCUGAGCUGACCAGUCUUUGCUCUUACCCCUUAAUGCUGUGUGCUUAGCGGAGAAGCAGCAAAUAUCAAUUUUAAAGUCUUUGGUUUGACCCGGCCGGGGUUCUAGCCCACAACCUCCCGCACUCGAGGCGAACAAGCUACCAUGAGAUCACCAAGGCGGUUAUGUGACAUAGAGAUGUAAUAUGGUUAUAUGAAUGUUUUUUGAAUAUAUGUAAAUUUGUGUUUUUGCUUUCAUUGUAGAAAAAAAAUGCAAAUGAUUACCAACAGGAAGCUUUCUUAUUCAAGUGAAUGCAACUUACUUUUUAACCCUCUUGUGAUAAAGACUUUUUUAUUAUGGUUAAUUUUCUUAGAUAAAUGAGAUACCUGGUAGAUUGUAGUUUAUAUGAUAAUAAAAUACUCCGCAGGGCGCAGCUUGAUACGACCGCAGAGGUCGAACCCUGAACAGUUGGGGCAAGUAUGGACACAACAUUCAAGCUUGAUACAGCUUUGCAUUUGGAUUGUGAUUAAAUAUUUGACACAGCAUAGGUUUCUGACACAGCAUGAAUGUGGUCUAAGAACUUAAUAAUUUUAAAUUGGACAUUCACCUAUUAUGGUCCAAUAUCCAAAAUCUAAAUACAUGGUUAGAUUCAGCAUAUCAAAGAACCCCAAGAAUUCAAUUUUUGAUGAAAUCAAACAAAGUUUAAUUUUGGACCCUUUUGACCUCAAUGUGGACAAAGUUGAUAACGGGGCCCAAAAAUCAAAAAUCUAAAUACAUGGUUAGAUUCAGCAUAUCAAAGAACCCCAUAUAUUCAAUUUUUGUUGAAAUCAAACAAAGUUUAAUUUUGGACCCCGAUUUGGACCAACUUGAAAACUGGGCCCAUAAUCAAAAAUCUAAAUACAUUUUUAGAUUCAGCAUAUCAAAGAACCCUAAGAAUUCAAUUUUUGUUAAAAUCAAACUAAGUUUAAUUUUGGACCCUUUGGACCUUAAUGUAGACCAAUUUGAAAACGGAACCAAAAAUUAAGAAUCUAAAUACACGGUUAGAUUCGGCAUAUCAAAGAACCCCAAUAAUUCAAUUUUUGAUGAAAUCAAACAAAGUUUAAUUUUUGACCCUUUGGACCUCAAAGUGGACCAAUUUAAAAAGGGGCCCAAAAUCCAAAAACUAAAUACACGGUUAGAUUCAGCAUAUUAAAGAACCCCAAGAAUUCAAGAAUAAAACCCCAUUGAAAUUGGUCAAGAAAUAAGCAAUUUAUACGAAGUAUCUUCUUUUGCACAAUACUGUGCAAUUAAAUAUUUCUUGCUAUUGCGCAAUACUGUACUAUUGACAAUUUCUUGCUAUUGCGCAAUAUUGUGCUAUUGGAGAUUUCUUGCUAUUGUGCAAUACUGUGCAAUUGAAGAUUUCUUGCUAUUGCGCAAUACUGUGCAAUUGAAGAUUUCUUGCUAUUGUGCAAUACUGUGCAAUUGAAAAUUUCUUGCUAUUGCACAAUACUUAUUAUAUAAUAAUUUACACAUCCUGUUUGGUGUGUAUCUCCUACCAUAUCAUUAUUAUUUGCUUUUAAAUAUAAAUCAGAAAUAACCAACUUAAAAUGGAAAAUUUUAAAAGAAAAAAAAAAGGAAAAAAAAAAAAUCCCCCCCCCCAAAUUUUUUGAACCCCCUUAUGAUUCAUCACCCCCAAACUCAAUUCCAGCCUUCCCUUUGUGGUAUGGUACCUUGCAGUACAAUUUCAGAGAGAUCCAUACACUUGUCAACACAAGUUAUUGUCUGGAAACUAGAAAAAUGUGUUUUUUGCCCCUUUUUGGCCCCUAAUUCCUAAAAUAUUGAGGCAAUUACCCCCAUCAUCAAUCCAAGCCUUCCCUUUGUGGUAUGGUACCUUGCAGUACAAUUUCAGAGAGAUCCAUACACUUGAACACAAGUUAUUGUCUGGAAACUAGAAAAAUGCUUAUUUUUGGCCCCUUUUUGGCCCCCAAUUCCUAAACGUUUCGGCAAUUACCCCCAAACUCAAUUCCAGCUUUCCCUUUGUGAUAUGGAACCUUGUAGUACAAUUUCAGAAAGAUCCAUACACUUACACACAAUUUGUUGUCAUGAAACUAGAAAAAUUAUUGUUUUUUGCCCCUUUUUUGGCCCCUAAUUCCUAAAAUUUUGAGGCAAUUACCCCCAAAAUCAAUCCCAGCAUUUCUUUUGUGAUAUGGAACCUUGUGGUACAAUGUCAGAGAGAUCCAUACACUAACACACAAGUUAUGUCUGGAAAUUACAAAAAUGCUUAUUUUUGGCCCCUUUUUGGCCCCUAAUUCCUUUACUGUUGGUACCAUAACCCCCAAAAUCAAUCCCAACCUUCCUUUUGUGGUAUUGAACUUGUGGUAAAAUUUCAUAGAGAUCCAUGCACUUAAACUAAAGUUAGAGUGCGAAAACCAAUGUGUCUUCGGACGACAACGACGACAACGACGACGCCAACGUCAUACCAAUAUACGACCACAAAAAUUUUUUUGCGGUCGUAUAAAAAGAAUACAGAUAAUUCUAUCAGGCAUAUAUUUUAAUUUACAGUUCAACUCUAGAAAAUAUCACAAACAACAAUUAGCAUUUUGUUAUUUUUUCACUCCUUGUACUGCUUUCUUCUUCUUUCCUCCCAUAAGAUAUAAUCCUAGAAGUCCAUAACAACCAAGUGUUAAAA